rnacentral:lncRNA from 1 species
AUGCUCGGCCCCCGCCCAGACUCUCGAGGGUCAAAGCUGGGGCCAGAGCCCGCCAGCUCCGAGGUCUACUCCACCUGCCUGCGAGCAGCCGGGGUUCCCCGCGGCGAUGUCUGCCCCGCGCCUCCGCCUCGACCUCUGACCGCUCUCCGGCCGCGCCGCGGGCUCAGCCGAUCCCGCUUUGUCUGCUCCUUAACUGGAGAUCGGGCCCCGCCGGGCUGCGGGGUCUCUCCCGCGGCGCGAGGGGUGCGGGAGGCAAGUCCUACCCUAGAUGCGCUCCCAGGAGGGGAUGAAAGGCUGCAAAUGACCUCACUCGGCCUUUGGCAGCCCUGGUCUGCAAGAUGUCGUCUUAUGGGGUGUGAGAGGGAAGAGGGCCGCGGCCCUGCCUGCCCCAUCCUUGCUGCGCUUCCCUCUGUGUGUGGGCCUCACUCUGUCUUGGUGCAAGGGGGCCUCCCCCUUCUGCCUGAGGGUGACAGGCGUCACUCUCCAGGGUCGCAUCCCCGUGGGGUGGCAUCGCUGAUUCGACAGUUUUCUCCUCUCGCUUCAGCAUAAAAG